AGUGAACGCUGGCGGUAGGCCUAACACAUGCAAGUCGAACGGCAGCACAGUAAGAGCUUGCUCUUACGGGUGGCGAGUGGCGGACGGGUGAGGAAUACAUCGGAAUCUACUUUUUCGUGGGGGAUAACGGAGGGAAACUUACGCUAAUACCGCAUACGACCUACGGGUGAAAGCAGGGGAUCUUCGGACCUUGCGCGAUUGAAUGAGCCGAUGUCGGAUUAGCUAGUUGGCGGGGUAAAGGCCCACCAAGGCGACGAUCCGUAGCUGGUCUGAGAGGAUGAUCAGCCACACUGGAACUGAGACACGGUCCAGACUCCUACGGGAGGCAGCAGUGGGGAAUAUUGGACAAUGGGCGCAAGCCUGAUCCAGCCAUACCGCGUGGGUGAAGAAGGUCUUCGGGUUGUAAAGCCCUUUUGUUGGGAAAGAAAAGCAGCAGGUUAAUACCCCGCUGUUCUGACGGUACCCAAAGAAUAAGCACCGGCUAACUUCGUG
rnacentral:rRNA from 1 species